CCCGCGGAGGCCGGGUGCAGCCCCGUCGGCUCCGCGCUCCCGGCACGGAAGGGUUUUCUGCGCCCCACGCCCAUCACUGGGAUCUUGCCUGGGAGGGUGGGAGCUUUUUUCUGGAAGUCCCCCCCACCCCGCCACCUCCGCGGUGAAGGAUUUGAGGCUGGGCUCCAAUCGAGGCGGAGGCUGCAGGGCCUGCGGGCGCCCCCCGCCCCGCGCACGCCUCCCCGGAGCCCUGAAAGGCGCAGCCCCGGGGACCCUGCACCCCCGGAGGAGGCAGCGGCGGAUGAAAGGCAGCAGUCACAGUAGGCUGAGAACAUCAGUAUUACUGCUGAGUCCAUCUUCCUGCUAAGCACCUUACAAGCCUCACCUCACUUAAUAGCCACAGCCAACCCUCAGGCGGGCCUCAACGUGUCCUGUUCCAAUGAGGAAGUGGAGACUUAUGCCGGUGAAGACAUACGACCAGGGGUACCCAGCUGGAAAGGGGUUUGAGCCCAGGUGCAGGGCUGGCUUCACUGUCUUGGGUCCUGCACUUGGUUUAAUGUUCUGUUGUCAUCUGGAAAUUCUUAGUACUUCUGGAAGAAGGGGGCCCCGCCCCAGGUUUUCAUUUUGCCAAUCAUGGAGCCGGUCCUGCCCACAUCUGACUUCCCCCAGAGCUGUCACUCUUAUCUCCUAACUUCCAGAUGUCAUAUAGCCAGGUCCAGGGUAGUUUCUCAGUUCAUCCUUACAAUGUUUAGUGUGGGACUGAAAUCCUGAGGAGAGUAUGAAGACUUAACUACCAGGCAGAAUGGCCCAAAUGCCUACUCAUUUGUCUGGUCCCCCUGUGAGAAGGCAGGGACCAUGUAUCACUCACUGCUGUACUCCCAGAGCCUAGUGUGUAUUAGCUGCUCAGUUAAUAGUUGUGAAAUGAGGCCAGUGAAUAGGAGGCUGUUAUGUCUCUGGAACCAGACCUAUUUCAGUGACAACUUCCAGGAAAGCAGGUCGUCCAUGCGGUGGUGUCAGCCCAGCAGGCUUCUGGAGAGCCCCUUCAGGGGGUGGAGAUGCAGGUCCCUUUCCUCCCACUGCCCCAAAUCUGCGUGCCAACACCCUGUAGCAGAUUACUGUUUAAGCGGUUCUGGUGAGCUCAGGGACAAGUAUUUAAAGCCAUGCGGACCUGGGUUCCAGGGCGCCUCCUACUGGGGAAGAUGCAGGGGUCAGCCAAGAGGAUCCUGGGGUUAGUUAGCUCUGGGGGGCUCAGGUCCCAGGCAGUGUCAGGGAGCAGUUUCCUGGACUGUUAGAGGAGAAGGCUUGGAUUUUUGGAUUUUGUAUUUUUUUCCCUCUGAAAUUAUAGUUCUUUUACUGUCUCAAAGCUCCAAGUUAUAAAUAUUACUAAGAAGCAAAGAAUCUUUCAAAAGCCAUUGAGAUAUUUGUAACAAUACAAGUGUAUACGUUUGUACACUUUUUGCCAACUGUUUUCACCACAUUAUCUCCAUUGCUUCAGAAAAUCCUGUGAAGUGGGAAUUCUCCUCAUUUUCUAAAUAACUACCAACACACACUGAAUGCUUUAUAUGUACUAAGCACUUUACACAUAUGAAGUCAUUUUAGUUGCCCAGCAACAUGUGAGGGAAGAACUGUUAUCUCUGUUUUACGGAUGAGGAAAUAGGCUUAGAGAAUGGAAUUGACAUGUCCAAGGUCACACACCCAGCAUGUCUUGAGCUGGGGUUCAAGCCCUGACUCUUCCUUCUCAGGGACCAGCACACUUUCCUUCUAUAGGGCCAGAUACUGAAUAUUUCAGGCUUUGCAGGUCACAUGGUCUCUGUUGCAGCUCUCCUACUCAUCAUAACAAGAAACCAGCCCUAGACAACUUGGAAACGAACAGAAGUGUCUGUAUGCACAAAAUUAGGAUGUGGGCUGAAUUUGGCCCAUAGGCUAUAGCUUGCCCACCCCUGUUCCAGACCCAGAAACCUACCUUCCAGUUAGGAAGAACUUGGUCAUGACAAUGCUCUUCUCCACCUCUCUCCCUACCUAAACAAAGUUACUUUUUAGACCAGAGCUCACUGGCUCUGGAGAUACUGAAUUAACCCCUCUCUCCUUGAGGGAAUUCUGAAUCCCUUGGAGUUUACAACUAUUAGGAAUUGUCAGUGACUGCCAGAACAGAGCACAGUGGGGAUUUUAAAAUUCGUGAGCAAGUGCAGGGAGAAAGUGGAGGAGACGAGUGGGGAUGGCUUUUUUUUUUUAGCAGCUUCAUUGAGAUAUUCUCUUAUCAUACAAUUCACCCAUUUAAAGUAUGCUAUAUUCAGAGUUCUGCAUCCGCCAUCACAAUUAUAGAACAUUUCCAUAGCCUCAAAAAGAAAUGCCCUUUUCUAACAAUCAGUGGCCAGCUCUCCCCACCCCAAUCCUAACGUUAAUCUAUUUUCUCCAUAGAGUUAUCUGUUCUGGACAUUUCAUGUAAAUGGAAUAACAUGGUAUGUGAGCCUUUGUGAAUUGCUCCUCUCACUCAGCAUUAUGUUCUCAAGGUUCAUCCAUGCUGUAGGCCUCUCCGAACUUCAUUCCUUUCUAUGGCUGAAUAACAUCCACAAUUUAUUUACCCGUUCAUCAUCACUUGAUGGACAUUUGGGUGGUGUAUACUUUUUGAUCAUUAUGAAAAUAAUUCACCUGUCAACAUUCACGUGUAAGUUUUUAUGGAGAUCUGUGUUUUCAUCUUUCUUGGGUAUAUACCUAGAAAUGGACUCCUGGGUCAUAUGCCACACCACGUUUAACACGGAGAAAUCACCAGAGGCACAUCUUAUAUAUUGCCUUUUUCACCUUUGUAUUAUGAAAAUUUCCCACCAUACUGAAAGUAGAGAAAGUUCUGUAACAAGCAGCCCAUAUGCAUCAUCCAGGCUAAACAAUUACCAACCUUUGCCAGUCUUAAUUCAUCCUGCUUUCCCUCCUCCUCCACUUUUUUCCCUCCAAGUGUGUUUCCCACUGAGCGGUUUGAGCCUAUUCAAACACUGCCCUUUAUAUUGUUAACUGGGCCAAGAGGUCAACAUUUUCUUUUGUCCCAAACCCUCAAAGUCUCCUACAUCCACAUCUGUGUGUGGAUGGAAUUUGGUGAGAAUGAAGGAAUUGAUUGGGACAGAGGCUAACAUGGGUCAGUGUGAGGUGGGAAAGGAACAGCUCCUGAGUGAAGCAGGACUGGCUACAUAAUUUGCAAGGUGAAAAUGUGCCCUUUGUCCAAAAAUUACUAAGAAGUUCAAGACAACAGCAGAGCAUUAAACCAAGCAUAGGCCCUGUGCAGCUCACAGGUCACAUGACCAAGUGACCAGCAAAAGGGCACCCAAGCAGAACUAAUUCGUGGGACAUAAGAAUUUAGAGCCUUGGUGCCUAGGAGAGGCAUAAGCACCCUUCACCCAACCCCUGGAAGGUUCCAAGCACAGUUGGGUCUCCCUCCUGGGAGACAGCGGCAUGUGGGGCAGGGUUCAAGCCCAUUAUAUGUGAAUCUUCAAAAACAAGCUGACCUCAGCUGACAUGUGAAUUAAAAGUACUUUUUGAAAAAUGACCAUUUGUCUUAAGCCUUCCUCCCUCAGAACCUGCAGCUGCAUUCUUCCAUCACACCAUUUUGUCUUGGACUGCCAGCGUACUCUGCUUUCACAGCAAAUGACAGAGCUGCGGUCUUCAGAGCAGAGGCCCACUGGGUGGCAAACCACCCAGGACAGUGGCGGGACCAGGGGUGCCCAUUAGAGGCAGGUGGUCAUGGCCGACACCGGCAACCAGUCACGGCGCCCAACCGCUCCCAGCUCAGAGUUCCACUGUCCUUCUCAAGGAUAAUCGCCACUAAGUGAACCCUAUUUCCUGUGCUUAUUUAGCCGCUCAACCCAAGAAUUCAUCGUCUUUAGACACCCAGAGAUGCAGAGCUCCCAACGAGGUGCUUACAGCACCGGAAUCUUCAGGAAGGGUGGGCAGCAGGGUGGCAGGGCGGGACAGGAGGGACAAGGGAGACUCGUCAAGGUGGGAACAGGUAAGGACCUUGGGCUCCUCCUGUUCUCUGUGGGAUGUUCAGGGAGUGAAGAAACGUCAUUCAUUCAAUUAUCUGAGCACCUGCCGUGUAUAAGGCGCUGCCUACUGGGCGUAAGCAACAUGGUAAUUAAGACCCGGCAGUUCCUACCCCUUGGGGCAAGAGAGGCAAUCAUAAACCAAAGAUUUAAAAAACCUCUAAUGUGAUAAAAAUAACAAAUGACAAUAGCAAAACAACAGGUCUGAGUAAAUCUUGCUGGCAGCUUCUGGGCUGGUAGACCACAAAGUGGAUCUUAGAGCAAAGUCCAACUCAGGAUAGAGGCAAGUCUCAGCAGAAUGGAUGUAGAUGCGGCACAGCCAAGAGAAGUCUCCAGAGGCGGUAGGUAGCUGGGUUCUAGCUGCUUUUUUUUCUUCUCGAACUUUCUCCCCCACUUCCCGCAACAGACCUGACACCCAGCGUGAAGAUGGACAAUGAUCGCUGCUCACAACACCCGUCCCUCAGCUGAUGAGGCCAGGCAUCGGCACAUGACCAAGGCUGACCCACCACAGUAACCCACUUCUGCACUGGGCCACAGUGAUUGGUUCAGGAGGGGUCAUGUGGCCCAACCAGGCCCAAUCCAGGAUUGUCCUAACUGGAGCUGGUGGGAAGGUUUCUUCUCCCCUCUUCUCCAGCGUCCAGAGCCAGCUGUGGCUCCAGAGAGUGAGAUCUCUAAGCAGAGGGAGGGAGACACCAGGGACCGGGUAGGGUAGGGAACAGGAGAGAGACCCACCAGGCAGUCAGACCCCAGAGCCUUACAGGCCCCAGAUUCAAGCGCAGCUCGGCCUUUCCCUUUCCGGUCUCAGCCACCCGAGUAAUGAGGCCCCCCAUACCAACCCUUUUAUGUUAAUCGGAUCAACUCAGGUUCCUGUGCAGCCCAGAGCCUCCCAAAUCAGGAUUUUGCUGUUAUAACGUAUAUACAUUUUGGCAUGUAUCCAAGUACGUUCAUAGGAUACCUUCCUAGAAGUGGAGUUUCUUGGGCAGAGGAUAUAUGCCUUUUUAAUUUCUGUAGCUAUUUCCCAGUGCAGAAAGUAUCAUCCAUUCAUGCCCAUCGACAACGCACGUGUGAGGGUGCCUAUUUCCAGCACCCUCACACACCCUUGCAAGAAUGCAGUGUGUCGGGGAAGCAGAUCCCAAAUGAGGUAAGGGGACUUUCCAUGUGCAUCUGGGUUGGGGUGGACAUGGCCUCUGAGGUUGUCCCUUGUCACUUUGGGAAGCAAUAUGCCAUUCAGAGGCCUGGUUGGUUUGGGUUUUAUAAACAAAGACAGUUUGGGGAGGGGAGCCAGAACCCUGUCGUGAGAAGCGUUGUACGACUCAGUAUUUAUUUCUUUGGUUCGGUUAGAACUUAAAUAUGGUCAAAACAUAUUCUUCUUUUAAUUUACACAAACAAAUAUGUUCCCAGGCUGACACCUCCAGUGCCAAGUUUCUAGGGGAAAUGAAAUUCUACAGUGAGAUCAUAAACCAGUAGGGAGACGAUGAGAAUGGAAAAGCCUCUACAAGUUAGCUUUCCACAUCCAGAACUGGCUGCUGAGAGGUGUCUCUUUCUGUUUUAGUUGCAGAUAAACCUGCCAAUAAUUUUAGCAAAUGAAAUGUGGAACGCAUAAAGGCCAGAGGAUGGAAAAACGCUCCAGUUUUGAUGAAAGAAGGUCUGCUCAGCUUGGAAUCCUUCCUCCUGCUAGCCAGGAGAUGCAAAGAUAUAUCCAGAGAGGGGCUGAUGAAUUGAGGGAAAAGAAACGAGGCCAAUGUGAGUCGCCUUUCAAGAGCUGUGCUAAUAUAAAACCAAACGACUUGAAAUUGUUCCAAGAGGGGAUUAAAGCAACAUGUUAUUUUGA